UACGAAGGGUGCAAGCGUUACUCGGAAUUACUGGGCGUAAAGCGUGCGUAGGCGGUUUGUUAAGUCCGUUGUGAAAGCCCUGGGCUCAACCUGGGAAUUGCAGUGGAUACUGGCGAGCUAGAGUGCGGUAGAGGAUGGUGGAAUUCCCGGUGUAGCGGUGAAAUGCGUAGAGAUCGGGAGGAACACCCGUGGCGAAGGCGGCCAUCUGGACCAGCACUGACGCUGAGGCACGAAAGCGUGGGGAGCGAACAAA
rnacentral:rRNA from 1 species